ACAGUUCUCACACUGAAUGUUGAACAUCAGCCACUUUGUCCUGUUGAUUUCAACCUUGUCGUACAGAUGGAACAUUGGCUGUGGAUUCUUCUCACUGCUCUGGGCUUUGGUCUAAUAUCUGGAAACAAGAUUCAUCCUGUUGAAGCUGAAGUCAGUGGAAGAGAAGGAGAACAUGUCACACUCAGAUGUCAGUAUGAAACAUCUGGUAGUGGCAUUUACCUUCACUGGUACAGGCAGCAUUCUGACCUUCAGCCUCCUCACUUUAUCCUCUGGAAAGAAUCACAGAAUUCCCCAUCUCAGUAUAUCCGUGACGGCCGAUUUAAAUCCCAAACACCAGGCCAGACCACAGAGCUGACCAUCCCAGUCCUAACCCUGGCAGACACAGCUCUGUACUACUGUGCUCUAGAAACACAGUGAUCCAAAGUGGAGAAGAGGCUGUACAAAAACCUGAACACACAGAUCUGACUACUCUGCACAGAGGAGGGAAGUGGGAUUGAACCCACAGCUUCAUAUCAGAUGGAUUCU